rnacentral:rRNA from 1 species
UACGUAGGGGGCAAGCGUUGUCCGGAUUUAUUGGGCGUAAAGAGCGUGUAGGCGGCCAGACAGGUCCGUUGUGAAAACUGGAGGCUCAACCUUCAGAGGUCGACCGAAACCAUCUGGCUAGAGUCCGGGAGAGGAGAGUGGAAUUCCUGGUGUAGCGGUGAAAUGCGCAGAUAUCAGGAAGAACACCCGUGGCGAAAGCGGCUCUCUGGAACGGUACUGACGCUGAGACGCGAAAGCGUGGGGAGCGAACAGG